rnacentral:rRNA from 1 species
CUGAAAUUCGCCUUCAUGAAGCCGGAAUUGCUAGUAAUGGCAGGUCAGCAUACUGCCGUGAAUACGUUCCCGGGCCUUGUACACACCGCCCGUCACACCAUGAGAGUUGGGAAUACCCGAAGCCUGUGAGCUAACUAAUAGAGGCAGCAGUCGAAGGUAGAAUCAAUGAUUGGGGUGAAGUCGUAACAAGGUACC